rnacentral:rRNA from 1 species
GCUUCAACUCGUUUAGUGCUUUCCGGGGGAACACCGUCAGAACUUCGGUGAACCGGGAUGANGGUAAGANGUGUACUACAGNNGUGUAGUGAUGUNGAAAAUCUUCGUUAANUCCCUUGUGGGGACCACCAGUGGGCGAAGNGCGUCUUUACCAGAAACGGAGUCCGACGGUGANUGGACGAAAGCUGNGNNGCAUGAACCGGANUUAGNAUACCCGGGUAGUCCCAGCCGUAAAUGAUGCUCGCUAGGUGUCAGGGACGGUGCGACCGNUUUCUGGUGUCGCAGGGAAGCCGUGAAGCGANCCACCUGNGAAGUACGGCCGCAAGGCUGAAACUUUAAAGGAAUUNGGCGGGGGAGCAGUACAACGGGGUGGAGCGUGCGGUUUAAUUNGGACUCAACGCAGGAAAAACUCACCGGGGGCGACAGCAAUAUGUAGGUCAGGCUAAAGNACCNUUACCCGAAUCGCUGAGAGGANGGUGCAUGGCCGUCGUCAGUUCGUACNUGUGAAGCAUCCUGUUAAGUCAGGCAACGAGCGAGANCCGUGCCCACUGUUGCCAGCAUGUCCNUUCGGGAUGNAUGGGUACUUCUGUNGGGGACCGCCGCUGUUAAANCGGAGGAANGUGUGGGCUACGGUAGGUCAGUAUGCCCCGAAUNUNCCGGGCUACACGCGGGCUACAAUGAUUGGGACAAUGGGUCCCUACUCCGAAAGGAGAUGGCAAUCUCAUAAACCCAACCUUAGUUAGAAUUGAGGGCUGUAACUCGCCCUCAUGAAGCUGGAAUCCGUAGUAAUCGCGUUUCAACAUAGCGCGGUGAAUACGUCC